AUGGUUCGAUGCCACUUGAAUGACGAGCUGACAGUGGUUCGUCCAUUGUCAAAGUUAUUAUACUUGCGUGUUGGGCACUGUAAGAUAACAAAGAUAGUACUAAAUGCGAUGAAACUCAAAACAUUCAUGUUCUAUGGGCGGUUGUAUCCUGUUGACCUUGGGGAUGUUGCAGACCUAAAACAUGCAGUUCUUGAUUUAUAUACCCCAAUGACUCUUGAACAUGCAUUGUCUGUACUUUCCAAAGUGCUUCCAAGUGUUCAAGAUCUGACAUUGCGCGCAUCUUUUGAACUCAAGAUGCCCUUGUGGAUGAAAACCCCUUGCAAGUUCUCCAACUUAAAAUGUUUAGAUUUGAGGUUGAAUUUAAAUGACAAAGAAGAUGGCAAUAUUUUGUCUUUGGCCUCUUUUUUGAGCGUUUCUCCUUUCGUUGAAAAGUUAGCGAUUUAUUUUCAUGUUUUUGGUUUCCCACAUCGUGUUUCCGAGCCAAUUAAGAGUGUUCCCCGGUGUCCACAUAAUCAUCUAAAGAACCUACAUAUUACAGGAUUUUCUGGAACAACAACACAACUUGAAUUUCUAGUGCAUGUUGUUGAAAGUGCCCAUGCCCUGGAGAUUUUGACGAUUAAAGGAUCUGACAUAGUUGGCCGUCGUGUGGACCGUAAAUGA
rnacentral:rRNA from 1 species